rnacentral:rRNA from 1 species
AGCCAUGCCGCGUGAGUGAAGAAGGCCUUCGGGUUGUAAAGCUCUUUUAGUCGGAAAGAAAGAGUUGCAAUGAAUAAUUGUGAUUUAUGACGGUACCGACAGAAAAAGCACCGGCUAACUACGUGCCAGCAGCCGCGGUAAUACGUAGGGUGCGAGCGUUAAUCGGAAUUACUGGGCGUAAAGGGUGCGCAGGCGGUCUUGCAAGUCAGAUGUGAAAGCCCCGGGCUUAACCUGGGAAUUGCGUUUGAAACUACAAGGCUAGAGUGCAGCAGAGGGGAGUGGAAUUCCAUGUGUAGCAGUGAAAUGCGUAGAGAUGUGGAAGAACACCGAUGGCGAAGGCAGCUCCCUGGGUUGACACUGACGCUCAUGCACGAAAGCGUGGGGAGCAAACAGGAUUAGAUACCCUGGUAGUCCACGCCCUAAACGAUGUCAACUAGUUGUCGGAUCUAAUUAAGGAUUUGGUAACGUAGCUAACGCGUGAAGUUGACCGCCUGGGGAGUACGGUCGCAAGAUUA